rnacentral:misc_RNA from 1 species
GCACAGCGGUACACCAGUGCUGUUAUUGUGUUCAUUGUUUCGGCGUCUGGUGACGGUGCAGGUGUGUGUGUGUGUGUGUGUGCAAGUCGUCAUUCCCUCGCUAACCGACCACCCCCCUCCGCACUCCCAGCCUGCCACAACCACUAAAAGGGCUUCUCAGCCGUCAUUCUUUACGUUUUGUUUCUUCGCGGCACGCCUCUCUUCUUUCUUCGACACGUAUUCUCUGCGUGCCUGUGUGUCGGUGCCCGAGGCCUCUCCAUCUGCGUCGUGCUCCAUCAACACCGUCGCAGUGCGCGCCAUUCAGCCAUACGCAGCGACCGUCGCUUUCCUUCACCAAACGCCGAUACACGCACGCGCGUCCGUGCACAGCCGCGCGCACUAACACAGCUUCGUACGUUGGCGUGUGUGCCCGCCCCCUCACCCAACCUCGCUCACUUAUAAGCCCUUCUCUCGCUCGCAUUUCGCUUCCAACAGGCCCCAUUCAAAGCCGCCGGUGUCUCCCUCUCUCUGCUCUUGCACCGUGAGGCCCGCCACAGACCUUCAGAUACGUACACAGGCAGAGCAGGAGAAGCGAGUACACAAACGCCCCCCUCUCACCCCCUCUUCCAGAGACGCACUCAGACACACACACACACAGGGGGGGUGCUGUUCCUUCGCCAUCUCGCCUCUUUUUCCUGUUCCCGACCUGUCUUUCCAUUCGCGCACACAAGCAGGCAGAAGGGCAGAUAGACGCGCCCUCUCAUUUUUUGUUUUUGUGUCUGCCUUCGUCGUCCACUUACUCCUGCCACCGCCGCCUCCUCCCCUCCCCCUCCCCACCAUCCCUUUUCUGUGCACUCGUGCUGAAUCCUCCUCCUACCCAUCCUCUUUCAGCGACAUGGAGUUCAGAACACCGGCACGAGCUGCGCAUGUCCCCACGCCCGGCACCAGCGCCGCCGCGACGGAGACUCUCUUUGCCUCCCCAUCUUCGCCCGCUCCGCGACGCCCUGGUGAUGAGACGCCUACCUCGGUCAACUCCUCCCAUCUGCGCGGUCUUUCCUCCCGCUCCUCGCCGCUUAACGAGUAUCGCAGGCACGCUCAGAACCAUACCCGUCUUUCACCGCAGCCGCUGUCCUCGCAGGCGUCGGUGGAUCGCUACGUCUCAGCCCCUUCGCGACAGGCAACAUCAAUGGCACACUUUCUCCUGACCUCCCGCGAACGGAAGACGCCAAUGCUUAUCCGGGCCGCGCAGCAGCACUAUCACCUCGCCAUCCGCAGCCCAUCGCGUGAUCCGUCUUUUGACGUGUCCUCGUCACUGGAGGACUCCUAUAACUCCCUGGUCCGGUACGCUGUGGACCGCAGCUCCUCGCGCCACGCCACGGUCGCCUCACCGCGAUCACACCGGAGCCUUCCACGGGUAGGCAGCUCCGCCAUGACGCCCAGCAGCGCGCGGCUGAGCAGUGUCUUCGCAAAGAUGCAUCUCGACCCAUCUACCACGCUGCGCAGCAGCCGCGAGCGCAGUGGGAGCAGUCCUUCUUUGACGGGCGUCGAUACGAGCGGCGGAUGUGGCGGCCAGCUUGGCGACGAUGGCAGGAGCUCGCCGUCCUCAGCGAUGGAGCUCGAGCCGUACACGACGAAGCUCGCGCGCACCCUCUUCAGCGAUGUAGAGCAAACCACGGUGUUGCCUGUGAACGACACCGCCGCGCGACCGCUGGGCAUGGCUGCGCGCAGCAUCGGUGGCUGCAGCCACGCCGAGGAGGCGGAAGAGGUGAGCAGCCCCGUCAAGGAUGGAACAGCGGGGCUAGGCAGCCGCUCACUGCUCGAUUGCAGCGGUGCCCGGCGCCAUCGAGCCGACGAGAACGACGGCGAAAACGACGAUGACGCGCUGGAGGCAGACUGGAUGCGCAACGAAGAGGAUGAACAAGCAUUGCCAUCGUCUGUAGCGAUCCGUAGGCACAUGGCUUCGCUGCCCACUCGCGUGCCGCUUGCCAUGUCGGAGGUGAAUCAGUUCGGCAUGGCAGAAGGCGCACGCUUCGACGCGUCUCUCGGCGUCGUGUUCGAGUGCAACCGCACACGCAACUUUACGACCCCUUCUUUCCGCGUUAUACCACAUACGCCGGAGCGCAUCCUGGACGCGGCCGACAUGGAGGACGAUUUCUACAUGAACCUCAUCGACUGGUCGGCCACGUCAGACGUCCUGUGCGUCGCGCUGCAGAACUGUGUGUACCUGUGGGAUGCCAAGACGUGCGGCAUCACGGAGCUGCCGCGUGUCGUCUCGACCGGUGGCGGGCUUCACGGAGAUGGCCGCUCGGGCGAUGCACAGCUCGUCUGCGGCCUGAACUGGGCGCCAGACGGGUACCACCUCGCCGUUGGUCGCCACAGCGGCGCGGUGGAGGUAUGGGACGUCGAGACACAGCAAAUUGUGCACACGUACCGGCAGCACGCAGACCGCACCGUGUCCCUCUCCUGGGAGCCGCUAGGGGGUUGGCUUCUGGCGUCGGGAAGUCGCGACAGCACUGUCGUUCUGCGUGACGUACGCGAGCGCGACACUUCCACGUCCGCCUCCGCGGCAUCGCCGUCCUCCUCCUCCUCCUCGGCCAGCGCCACGGCGGUACUGCGGGCACAUGAAACGGAGGUGUGCGGCCUCAAGUGGUCCCCGACGGGGGCAAUGCUGGCGAGCGGCGGCAACGAUAAUCAGCUUCUGCUGUGGGACCGCCGGAGCAUCUCGACGGGGAGCCGCAGCAGCGACACCAGUGGGGUCUACCGCCACGGCGAGUGUCAGCCCAUCUUUUUCCUGAAUAAGCACACCGCGGCGGUGAAGGCACUCAGCUGGAACCCGGCGCAGCCGGCCCUUUUGGCCAGCGGUGGCGGCUCGCACGACAAGGCGCUACGCUUCUGGAACUCGCUCACGGGCGAGUGCGUCCACCACAUCAAUACUGGUAGCCAAGUGUGCGGCGUUGUGUGGAACCGCGUUGGCACGGAGCUUGUCACGGCGCAUGGCUACACGGACAACCAGCUUAGCAUCUGGCGCUAUCCAUCCCUGCGGCGCAUUGCCAACCUGAUUGGCCACACGUCACGUGUGCUGCACCUCGCCCUCUCGGCGGACGGUCAAACAGUUGUAUCGGCCGCCGGAGACGAGACGCUUCGGUUCUGGCGCUGCUUCCCGGCGAGCGAGCUGCGUGAGUCGUCGCCGCACCUGCAUCGCAGCGCCUAUAGCUCUACGAAAGGCUUCUCGUUUAGUUCCUCCACGUAUGGAGGAGGCGUAGGAAUGAGCCCAGGCGGCACUUCCGCCUCCACGUCCUCCAUCGCCCGCGCGCGGGCGAUGGCCACCGCGUCCGGCCGAUGCGGCAGCCUAUCACAAGGCCGCGACAGCCGCUCGCUUAUGAAUGAAGAGAUUGAGCUGCGAUGACCGAGCUAGAGUGGGCAUCGGCGUCGACAACCAAGUGCACAAGCGCGAUGUUGAGGUCGGCAAAGGAUUGUCGAAUCCGCUGGGGUGCUGAAGGUGAUGAGCGUGUUGCAGGUGAUGGCAUAAGCGCAUGUACGUGUAUCUGUUUGCGUGUGAGGGGCGAGCGCCCCACAUGCCUUCUCUUUUCUGUUCUCGUCCUCCUCUCUCUCGUGCUUCUAUAUGUAUGUCUGCGUGUGUGUGUGUGCGCGCGCGCACGUCUCCCUCCCUUCUGUCAGACCUCACAGUGUGUUGUUGUUGCCCUUCCGUCCCCUGCCUGCCCUCUCCCACCGGGGCUCUUACACGAUGGCGUGAAGGCAAUGUCGACCGCCACCGCCACCGCCGUCACUGCGUCCCACCAGAGUACCCAUACACGCAUGGAUGCACGCGCGCGCACACAUACACACACGCACUUAUGAGCGUGGUGGAAGCCAACUAUCACAGUCACCUUUUCUCCUUUUCUUUCUUCAGUUUACCAUAUAACCUCCCACCCCCACCCCUCCCCUACCUGUCCCUUCCAAUGCCGAACCGCUUCUGGUGGGUGGCAGGGUCAGGUGCGUACGACGUUGGGAUGAGGGCGGGGUCAGUGCGAUGUAUUACUGCGGAUGCCAGCGGUUGGGUCCUUCAUGGUGUGGCAUCGGAGCGACGUGCGACAGUGAACACGCUUGAAGCAUUCACAUGAUGGUCGGAGUGUCAGCACGACUCAACCGCAUCUCAGCCGGCCCUCGCUGCCCGCUGGUGGGUGAGCCUGGGCCAUCCCAAGCGAUGCGCCAGGUGGCGAGCGGCAUGAUGGGGAAGCGGCUGUGAGGCGGCGGGGUGGCGGGUAUAGUUUGAGCCUGGGGCUGCGCUCCGAUGAUCGAGUCGGUGCAUUGCUGUAGCGCGUGUGUCUACGGCCGCUUCGCACCACGCGAUGGGGACCUGUGGCAGGGCCGGUGGGGGAUGAGGGAGGUGGGGUAGCGCGGCGUUUGAGCUCAUGUUGUGUGGCAGAAAAGUGGGCACAUGCCGAGACGGAAAUCGCGAAUGCCGCGCAGCCCACCCACCCCUCCCCUACCCCCUCGGAUACUCCCACGAGUGAUCCAUCUGUACCAACUUGAUUGUACCAUUUCUCUCUUCGCUCACUUCUUUCCAGAUCUGUACAUUGUGUCUUCG